rnacentral:misc_RNA from 1 species
CUGUUUCUCUCAACCCUUACCAAUGGCGUCCACGAAACGCGAGUUCCAACCUGUAGACGAACCGGAAUCUGAACAACCUGAGUCCAAAAGGAUAAGGUCUGAUGCUGAUGGUUCGGAUUCUCCAAAAACACAGCCUUGCAGGAACUCCGUGGUUCUCAAUCACGCUGAUUGCAACUUAGAUUUCGACAUUGGAAAUGAUGGUCUUAAAGGUUCUGCUCUUCAUGAGGAGGGGUUUGCUUAUUGCUGGUCUGGUGCUCGUGCAAAUUUUGGAAUCACU